UUGUGUAUUAGGUAAUUAACACUCAAUUUUGGUUGAGAGAGAAGAGAAAUGGACGCCCUUGACAACGUCGUAGAUCCUUUGAGAGACUUCGCCAAGGACAGCGUCCGCCUCGUCAAGCGUUGCCACAAACCCGAUCGUAAAGAGUUCACGAAGGUGGCGUUCCGUACAGCGAUUGGUUUUGUAGUGAUGGGAUUCGUCGGAUUCUUCGUUAAGCUCAUCUUUAUUCCUAUCAACAACAUCAUCGUCGGCUCCGCUUAGGUGAUUUGCCUAAUUUGAUUUUGCAUGCAAGUUUUACAUGUUAAAAAAAAUGGGAAAUGAUCAAAUUUUGAAUCAAUAGCUAUUUCCAUAUUACUGAGUGAGCUAUGUGGCUU